rnacentral:rRNA from 1 species
UACGGAGGGGGCUAGCGUUGUUCGGAAUUACUGGGCGUAAAGCGUGCGCAGGCGGUUUUGUAAGCCAGAUGUGAAAUCCCCGGGCUUAACCUGGGAAUGGCAUUUGGGACUGCAAGGCUUGAGUGCGGCAGAGGAGACUGGAAUUCCUGGUGUAGCAGUGAAAUGCGUAGAUAUCAGGAGGAAUACCGAUGGCGAAGGCAGGUCUCUGGGCUGACACUGACGCUCAUGCACGAAAGCGUGGGGAGCAAACAGG